UAACGCAGGGGGCGGCGGAGCGCUAAGCUCUGGAGCGGCGGACGGAAGCCUGGGGAGCCACUUCCGCCUGCGGUGCCCACUUCCAAGAUGGCGGGAACAGCGUCGGGCGCGCGGGGCGGGGCCGGGGGAGCGGCCUAAGUGGUCCAUGCCGGCGAAAUGCUGCGGGCCGUACUGGGUCGCGUGCCGGCAUUGCUGGGCGGUGUGCGGCGCUGGGGGACCGGCCUGAGGCGAGUGAGGUGCCCCCAGUCCCACCUGGAGGUCGCGGAGAGACGGCAGGCCUGGUGCCGGGGCUGGCGGCACUUGAGCUCAGGGCCGGAACCCUCGACUGGGCUGGGGCGUGUGGAGUCGGAGCACUACCAGCUCGUCUACACCUGCAAGGUCUGUGGGACUCGAUCCUCCAAGCGCAUCUCGAAGCUGGCCUAUCACCAGGGCGUGGUCAUUGUGACCUGCCCGGGCUGCCAGAACCAUCACAUCAUCGCAGACAAUCUGGGCUGGUUCUCCGACCUGGAUGGGAAGAGGAACAUUGAAGAGAUCCUGGCAGCAAGGGGCGAGAAGGUGCACCGGGUGUCUGGUGAGGGGGCCCUGGAGCUGAUCCUGGAGAAUGCAGGGCCCCCCAAGUCCCCUGUGGGCCCAGAAGUGGAUGAUGAUGCGGAUCCCACCCACACUGGCCAGACCAAGCGGAGCUGACCCCACAGUUCCUGGCACUGUUGGUGUCUUCCUUUGGCAGGGACAUUUGGUUGAUCUGGGUUGCUUGGCCACAGCUUCCUCCUGUCGCAUACCCAGGUGGAUCCCAAACUUGUGUGGCCUUGGACAGGGCGCACCUCCCUGCCUUCCUGCUGUGCCCCCUGCCACCCCCUGGAUGGGGUGGGCUCACCAGAGCUGGGUGAGGAGCCUGAGUCUGCAAGGAUCCCCCAGCCGCCUGGCCCCACCUCCUGCAUGUGCUUCAUCUCCGGCUUUGUUUGACUGGUGCGCAGGAUGUUCCUAUGUUUAGGGAAGUGAGUGAUCCCAGGCAUGGUCCUCUCCAGUUUUCUCUGCCAUGUGACCUUCAGCAUUAAUCACCCGCCCUGUCUGGCAGGGAGGCACCUAAAAGGGGAGAGGGUGGAGGUAGUGGCUGAGCCUAGUGAGACAGGGACACAAUUUGCCCGUCCCUCCUGGACCCAGCUAGCGACUACAGCUCACUCCGGCCGUGGGAGGCUGAGCGUAGGUGCAGCUUGUGCCCUUGUUCGAUUACCCCCUGUCCUCUACUCUGCCAGCAGCCUGCUAUUAUCCCCACCUGUCACUGGGGAGAACUGUCGUCAGCCUCCAGGCUGGGCCUGCCCCCCGCCUCCAGCCUGCUCCUCAUGGAGGCCCAAGGUCACAGGAGACCAGCUGGGGCUUCCCAGGGUCCUGGAGCGGGUUAGGUGGCUCUGGCUGGGCCAGGCCUGGGCUCCUCCCUGCCUCUGACAGUCAGAUGCUGGCUAGACCUGGAAGUGCUGGCUAGACUCUGCUUUUCUAAACGGGGAAACAGGCCUGCUGUGCAGAUGGGGUUAUUCACCCUGCCUUUUCCAUAUCCCAGGGCCUGACAGCCCAUUCCACAUGCACCCUGCAAGUCAGAGCCCAUGCCUCGCUGUCCUCCCUGGACUCAUGUUAGGCUGCUGAGCCUGCCUCGAUGGGGGCCCGGGAACAGCAACCUAAGCCAGCCUGUGUGACCGGCGCAGCUCCAAUGAAACAGGACACAGGAGAUGCUUUUGUGGAUGACA